rnacentral:sRNA from 1 species
UAGGACCAGGAAGCGCGGUGUGUCGGC